CGCGGAGUGGAGCAGUCUGGUAGCUCGUCGGGCUCAUAACCCGAAGGUCGUUGGUUCGAAUCCGGCCUCCGCAACCA
rnacentral:tRNA from 1 species